rnacentral:rRNA from 1 species
CACGGAGCUUGCUCUGUGGGAUCAGUGGCGAACGGGUGAGUAACACGUGAGCAACCUGCCCCUGACUCUGGGAUAAGCGCUGGAAACGGCGUCUAAUACUGGAUAUGUGACGUGAUCGCAUGGUCUGCGUCUGGAAAGAAUUUCGGUUGGGGAUGGGCUCGCGGCCUAUCAGCUUGUUGGUGAGGUAAUGGCUCACCAAGGCGUCGACGGGUAGCCGGCCUGAGAGGGUGACCGGCCACACUGGGACUGAGACACGGCCCAGACUCCUACGGGAGGCAGCAGUGGGGAAUAUUGCACAAUGGGCGCAAGCCUGAUGCAGCAACGCCGCGUGAGGGAUGACGGCCUUCGGGUUGUAAACCUCUUUUAGCAGGGAAGAAGCGAAAGUGACGGUACCUGCAGAAAAAGCGCCGGCUAACUACGUGCCAGCAGCCGCGGUAAUACGUAGGGCGCAAGCGUUAUCCGGAAUUAUUGGGCGUAAAGAGCUCGUAGGCGGUUUGUCGCGUCUGCUGUGAAAUCCGGAGGCUCAACCUCCGGCCUGCAGUGGGUACGGGCAGACUAGAGUGCGGUAGGGGAGAUUGGAAUUCCUGGUGUAGCGGUGGAAUGCGCAGAUAUCAGGAGGAACACCGAUGGCGAAGGCAGA